rnacentral:rRNA from 1 species
GAUGAACGCUAGCGGCAGGCCUAAUACAUGCAAGUCGAACGGUGUCUUCGGACAUAGUGGCGCACGGGUGCGUAACACGUAUGCAACCUACCUUACAUUGGGGGAUAGCCUUUCGAAAGGGAGAUUAAUACCGCAUAAGACAGUAGCUGGGCAUCCAGCAGCUGUUAAAGAUUUAUCGAUGUAAGCUGGGCAUGCGUCCACUUAGCUAGUUGGUGAGGUAACGGCUCACCAAGGCAAUGAUUGGUAGGGGAACUGAGAGGUCAAUCCCCCACACUGGCACUGAGAUACGGGCCAGACUCCUACGGGAGGCAGCAGUAGGGAAUAUUGGGCAAUGGACGCAAGUCUGACCCAGCCAUGCCGCGUGCAGGAUGAAGGCGUUAUGCGUUGUAAACUGCUUUUAUACAGGAAGAAACGACUCUUGCGAGAGGCAUUGACGGUACUGUAUGAAUAAGCACCGGCUAACUCCGUGCCAGCCGCCGCUAUAACAC